UACGAAGGGUGCAAACGUUGCUCGGAAUCAUUGGGCGUAAAGCGCACGUAGGCGGCCAACUAAGUCGGACGUGAAAUCCCUCGGCUUAACCGGGGAACUGCGUCCGAUACUGGAUGGCUUGAGUUUGGGAGAGGGACGCGGAAUUCCAGGUGUAGCGGUGAAAUGCGUAGAUAUCUGGAGGAACACCGGUGGCGAAGGCGGCGUCCUGGACCAACACUGACACUGAGGAGCGAAAGCCAGGGGAGCAAACGGG
rnacentral:rRNA from 1 species